CUCAGUGCGUCCCAAGUCUUGCCCACACCUGGUUAAUUCCAAAACUAUUCAACUUCGGGACCGGCCGGCGACGGAGCUGCCCUCAGCCGAGCCUAGGAAGUGUUGUCGGGCACGGGCAGUGUCCAGAGACGGAAGUGUGGAAAGCUGUUCUCCCGGCACAACUUGGCUCCACGUUUGCUGAGUGCCCGCGGGGAGGAGGCGUUACCCAGAUCAAGAUGAAUAGCGAUCAAGUUACAUUGGUUGGCCAAGUGUUCGAGUCCUAUGUUUCAGAGUACCAUAAGAACGACAUACUUCUCAUCUUGAAGGAAAGAGAUGAAGAUGCUCAUUACCCAGUUGUGGUUAAUGCCAUGACCCUUUUUGAGACCAACAUGGAAAUUGGGGAAUAUUUCAAUGUAUUCCCUAAUGAAGUGCUAACUGUUUUUGAUAAUGCACUGAGAAGAUCAGCCUUGACGAUUCUCCAGUCCCUUUCUCAGCCUGAAGGUCUCUCCAUGAAGCAGAAUCUUCAUGCCAGGAUAUCAGGAUUGCCUGUUUGUCCUGAGUUGGUGAGGGAGCACAUCCCUAAAACCAAGGAUGUGGGACACUUCUUGUCUGUCACUGGGACAGUAAUUCGAACAAGUCUGGUGAAGAUCCUGGAGUUUGAGCGGGAUUACAUGUGUAACAAGUGCAAGCAUGUAUUUGUGGUCCAGGCCGACUUUGAGCAGUAUUAUACUUUCUUCCGGCCAUCCUCAUGUCCCAGCUUGGAGAACUGUGAUUCUUCAAAAUUCACUUGCCUCUCAGACUUGUCAUCUCCAACUAGGUGUAGAGAUUAUCAGGAAAUCAAAAUUCAGGAACAGGUUCAAAGGCUCUCUGUUGGAAGUAUUCCACGAUCGAUGCAGGUUAUCCUGGAAGAUGAUUUAGUAGACAGUUGCAAAUCUGGUGAUGACAUCACUAUUUAUGGGGUUGUAAUGCAGCGGUGGAAGCCCUUUAAGCAAGAUGUGCGCUGUGAAGUGGAGAUAGUCCUGAAGGCCAAUUAUGUCCAAGUAAAUAAUGAACAGUCUGCAGGGGUCAACAUGGACGAGGAGGUCCGAAAGGAAUUUGAAGACUUUUGGGAACACUAUAAGAGCGAUCCUUUUGCAGGAAGGAAUGAAAUAUUGGCCAGCUUAUGCCCUCAAGUUUUUGGAAUGUACCUAGUAAAGCUUGCUGUGGCCAUGGUGCUGGCUGGUGGGAUUCAAAGAACUGAUGCUACAGGAACACGGGUCAGAGGUGAAUCUCAUCUUUUAUUGGUUGGGGAUCCUGGCACAGGGAAAUCUCAAUUCCUCAAAUAUGCAGCAAAGAUUACACCAAGAUCUGUGCUCACCACAGGAAUUGGAUCUACUAGUGCAGGUCUGACGGUAACUGCUGUGAAAGACUCAGGAGAGUGGAAUUUGGAGGCGGGAGCAUUGGUCCUUGCAGAUGCCGGCCUCUGCUGUAUCGAUGAAUUUAAUAGCCUUAAAGAGCAUGACAGAACUAGUAUCCACGAAGCAAUGGAGCAGCAAACCAUUAGUGUUGCUAAGGCUGGCCUCGUGUGCAAACUGAACACAAGGACCACCGUCCUCGCAGCAACUAACCCCAAAGGCCAGUACGAUGCCCAUGAGUCUGUGUCAGUGAACAUCGCCCUUAGCAGCCCACUCUUAAGUCGAUUCGACCUGAUCCUGGUUCUGCUUGAUACCAAGAAUGAAGACUGGGAUCGUAUCAUUUCCUCUUUUAUCUUAGAAAACAAAGGUUACCCAAACAAAUCAGAGAAGCUCUGGAGCAUGGAAAAGAUGAAAUCCUACUUCUGCCUCAUUAGGAAACUACAGCCCACACUGUCUGAUGAGGGUAAUCAAGUUCUGCUCCGGUACUAUCAGAUGCAAAGGCAGAGUGACUCCCGGAACGCUGCCCGAACCACCAUCCGCCUGCUGGAGAGCUUGAUACGACUAGCAGAAGCUCAUGCUCGCCUGAUGUUCCGUGAUAGAGUGACUCUGGAAGAUGCUAUCACAGUGGUGUCAGUAAUGGAGUCCUCCAUGCAGGGAGGUGCGCUGCUAGGAGGUGUGAACGCACUCCACACUUCCUUUCCUGAAAACCCUCUGGGGCAGUACCAGAGGCAGUGUGAACUUAUUCUGGAAAAGCUGGAGCUGCCCAACCUCUUGAGUGAAGAACUGAGAAGACUCGAAAGGUGCUAACCUCGGGGGAGGGCAAUCAAGAAUGGAGAGCAGAGGAGAGAGCCGGGGGCAUGAAGGAUCUCUGACAGAGGAACCAAAAAGGCUGGAAUGCUAAACUCAACCGCAGAAGCCGGAGACCUGCCUGCAUUUAACUCUCAUGAUGAAAACAUCUCUUCCAAAAUCAGCCUCCUCGGGCACUUCCAGCCGACGCACAGCCCAGCUGAAAGGUGGGCCAGAGUGGACGGGGGCGCCUCAGGGUGCACCCCAUUCAAUCAUUAUGGAACAGGGUCCAUUUUCUGAAAAAGUGAACCUGAAGAGGUGCAGCAGGGCCUUGAAACCCUCCGAGCCAUGAGGGCUGGACUGCUGCCAUCCCUCGAACGAGCCCCCACGGAGAAGAUGCAGAGACGUGAGCUGGGGCUUCCGGUGGAUGCAUAUUAAACACCUCAGACUGGAAGCUGAGGUCAUGGAUUACUUUCUCAUUGCUGUCAAAGAUGUACGUGGACCCAGGAGUGCCAGUAGACCAACCAUCACCAGCUGUGGUUCGCCCGCCGGCUCCACACCGCAGCUCAGAUGUAUCACCUCCCAGGUGUUCAGUCCACGACUGCGGAGCUGGCGAGGAUCUCGAGCGCCGUUUGUUGUGCUGCAGUUUGGUUUGACUGAUACCACGUUUCUGCUCAAAGCCCCUUGUUUGUUUUUUGUUCUGUUCUUCAAUUUUUAUUGGAAUAUAGUUGAUUUGCGGUGUGGUGCUAGUUUCAGGUGUAUACCAAAGUCAGUCAGUUACAUGUAUACAUACAUCCACUCUUUUUCAGAUUCUUUCCCCAUACAGGUUAUUACAGAGUAUUGAGUAGAGUACUGUACUAUACAGUAGGUCCUUAUUAAUUUUCCCGUUUACAUAGAAAGGACUUCUCUGGAAGCUCAGACAGUAAAGAAUCUGCCUGCAAUGCAGAAGACCUGGGUUUAAUCCCUGGAUUGGGAAGAUCCCUAGAGAAGGGCAUGGCAACCCACUCCAGUAUUCCUGCCUGGAGAAUCCCAUGGACAGAGGAGCCUGGUGGGCUACAGUCCAUGGGGUCACAAAGAGGCAGACACAAUAUAGUAGUGUGUAUAUAUCAGCCCUAGUCUCCCAAUUUAUCCCUCACCCCUGUGUCUCCCCCUAGUAGCCAUAAACUUGUUUUAUAUAUCUGUGACUCUAUUUCUGUUUUGUAGGAGGCAGCUUGAUUCUGACAUAUGUUUUGCACUGGGAGCUAAGACCAUAAGCGUUUGAACUGCAUGGUGGGUUUUUUUUGGCUGAAGAAGAAAGAAAGAACUUUUAUCAGUAAUUUUUUUUUUCAUACACAUCUGGGAGAAAAAUUAAGACAGGACUUGUAUCUCAGACACCAGUUCCUUGGAUAAUCUCAGAGACCAGGGGACCAGAAUAGAUGUUUGGAGCAUGUGAAGACUCGUGGUCUCUGCUGUAGUGAUAACUAAUUCACUACUUCCUAAGACUGUGUGAGCCAUGCAAUAUACUUUGUUCUCAGCUGCAAUGGCAUCUGACCCUGUAGUCUCCAUACACUCCUCAACGUGGCCCCAAGAAUGUGACCAAAAUCUGGAAAGGCCACAAGAUAUUCAGAAGAAAGCUAGUAGACGGAUUCUUCUGGUAUAGGUGGUGUAAGAUAAUUUGCCAAACAGCUCAAGACUCUGAGCUAAGGAAUCUGGAGGGCAGAUAUCACUUGGCUCCCCUCCCAGCACACAUGUUCCACCCACUCAUGCUGAAAAAGGAGAGACUCCCUGGAGGCUUGAGAAGUUAUCAACAUGUAGCAUUCUGUGUGCAUCUACUCCCAUCCACAUGGGUGCACAUCAUCUUCAGUGGAUCCUCACGCUCCCCCCCUCCAAUUGCAUCUCACACUUCACAGGCAACCUCAACAAUAUUCUGAUAACCUGCAGAGAGUUGGGCCAAAAUGCCUGCCAGAACCAAGAGCUAGAGCAGUAGGAAGGGUGUAGGCCAGGAGGGUGUUCAAAACAGCUCACCCUCCCCAUGUAGAAGGCUGAGCACCAACUGGCUUGGAUGCUGCCAUUUCAAUAUGGAUACUUAGAUGUGGUCAUCUUGACCAGAAUAGAAUCAAGCUGUUAAUUUUUCUCUUUGUUUUCCCAAAUUAAAACCUGCUAUAUUAUCUUCAUCUGAUGAAAAGAAAACACAAAUAUUCCCUUUAAAAGAAUCAGACAGUGCCAAAAAUUAUGGCAUACAACCCAUCUGAAACAAAAUACUUGGUGAAUAUCUUUUCCAGAAUUUGUUUGCUGGACAGUAUGAAAAUCACUGGUUUGGACUUUCUGGGAAGCAGAUGCUGAGAUGGAGUUUAUUGUGCAGGAUGUUUCUCAAGAACUGUCUUGGGGUCAACACCCAUGGAAAGAAAGGGUUGAAAGCAGAAUCAGGUAGAGAGAGAACUUGAGCUAUGUUGCAACCUUCGCAGAUCUGACUGGGAGCUCUGAGAUGAAAAAUAACCCAUCAGAGGUGCUCACUAUUAGGUUGAAAUGGCCAACCUUAUGCCCUUGCCUCUCUGCUCAGGAGGGUGGGACAUGGAGAGACCUAGCCUUACAGCUGGGCAGUUCCUGAACAGGCUGACAGCAACAAGUCCUUUUCAGAAGAGGCAUCUAGGCAGUGCACUUCAUGUCCAUCACACAGGGAGACACAUUAUUAUUGUAAACAAGAAUGGAGUCAUAUCUUCCACACUAUUAUGACACUGAUAUUUUUUACUUAGCAACAUACUGUAAAUAUUUCCCUGUAACCCAAAUACAUAAUAGAUCACAUUCAUUUUUAAUUACUGCAGAUAUUAUAUCGAAUAGGUGUACAAUACUAAUCAAAUUCCUGUUGAAGGGUGUUUGAGGACCUUUCUAUAUUUUUUGCCUUUAUAAUUAAUAAACUCAGUCAUGAACAUCCUAAUGUAUAUAUAUCUUUUCACACAUGUGAAAUUAAUUAUUAGCAUAAUUAUUAACACAAAGUAAUCUCAAAAGUGAAAUUGCUGGGCCAGAAGGUAUCCAUAUUUACAUUUUGAGUGUAGUGCCAAAUUACUCCCCAGAAAGUUGUAGCAAUUUACCUGAGCACUAAGGAUAAUCAGCAUCAAUCUUUGUAACCUUUGCCCAUUUCAUAGGUGAAAAAAAAGCUUGUUUUCUUAGUAACAUUUAUUAAUUAGUAGCCAGGUUAAAUGAUGUUUCUUAUGUUGACAUCAUAUUUCUUCUUCAAUUAUUUUUCCUUUUGUGAAUUACUUGUACUGAUCCUUUGCCCAUUUUUAUCUGGUUUGUGUCUGUUAUACUGAGGGUAGUAAGCCUGUUUGAUAUAUAUGAUAUAAUGCUAUUUACUAAUAUCCUGUGUCUUACUUUUCCUUUCUUUUUCUUUCUGUUCUCUUUUUAAAGAAAAAAAAACAACUAAACUAACCAAAUUCAUUUAUCCUCUCUUAGAGUUCCUAAUAAGUUUCCCUCUACCCAACUUGACAGAUAUUCUCCUGAUACUUCUGUAAAUCCUCACACUUUCAAGGUUUCUGUUAGUAAAUAAUGUGAAAAAGAGACAUUCUCUCCCAGCCCACUCCUUAGUCUCAUCUUAUUCCCCAACCACACCAGAUUACCUUUUAUGGAGAAAAGUUAUGAAAGAAACACAGAUUUUCUAAAUCCAUGACUGAUUAAUGUCAAUAUAUGACAAAACCCACUACAAUAUUGUAAAGUGGUUGGCCUCCAACUAGUGAAAAUAAAUGAAAAAAAAAAAGAAACACAGAUUUUACAUUUCAUAAUGGUCACUUUGAUGCAACUGCAUCAAGAUGUCUGCUUUAUUGGUCUUCCUUCCAUCAAAAAUGCCCGAAUAGCUAGACUUUCUGUGUGGGGUCCAUAGAGGCCCUGCCCCUACCUACAAUAGGAGGCUGAGCCGGGGAGCAGUGACAUUUCCUCCUCCAGCCUGCGAACCUCAAGCAAUGCAACAGCUAUGGACAAUGGAAAGUGGACACAAUCAUGUUCCAAACCUAGGCAUUUUUCCUGCUCACCCACUUCCUAACCCCACAUUCCCCUUUCCUUCUACCCAGGUACAAGGUACAAGCUUCCUAGCUCUACCUGGAUUUCCGAGUUAUCCACUCUGUUUUCCGCCCCAUUUUUUUUUUUUUUAAUUAAAUGAAUGAAUUGAUUUUUGGCUAUCCUUGGUCUUACUGUGCAGGCUUUUCUCUAGUUGCAGCAAACGGGCUUUUCUCUCAUUGCGAUGCACGGGCUUCUCCUCUUGUGGCAGGGCACAGGCUCAAGGGCAGCCGGCUUUAGUAGUUGCAGCUCCCUGGCUCUGGAGCACAGGCUCAAUACUUGUGGCGCAUGGGCUUAAUUGCCCUGCGGCGUGUGAUAAAUUCCCGCUUCGGGGAUCAAACCCGUGUCUCCUGCAUUGGCAGGUGGAUUCUUUACCACUGAGCCACCCGGGAAGCCCCCUCCUGUUGUUUUUAAAAACACCUUUAUUGAGGUAUAAUUUACAGACCACGAAAUCCACUCAUUUUCAAUGUACAUUGCAAUGAUUUUUAGUAAGCUUACUGUGUUGUGCUACCAUCACCGCAAUACAGUUUUAGAACGUUUUCCUGACCUCACUAAGAUCUUUCAUGUCUGUUUACAAUUAAUCCCCUUUCCCAUCCCAACUCCAGGCAACCACUAACCUACAUUUUGUCUCUAUGCAAUUGCCUUUUCUGGACAGAAGUUAAAUCAUAUAUGCCUUUAGUUUUGACGUCGCCUCUUAUCUCCGAUGAGAAAUUCCAGAUUCAACCUCAGCUCUAUGGAAACUUGCUGGCCAGACAUGGGUUCACAUAACUG